rnacentral:rRNA from 1 species
UGUAAAGUUCAAGCUCCGAUUUAGAGGGCGAAACCGCGAAUGGCUCAUUAAAUCAGUCAUAAUCUACUUGAUUGUUUAAAGUUUAUAUGGAUAACUGUGGUAAUUCUAGAGCUAAUACAUGCACAAAGAGGGCGACUCUCUUCGGGGAGAAGCUCUGCGUUUAUUAGACUAAGACCAAUGAAGCCGUUAAAAGCUUCUCUGUUAAGGUGACUCUGAGUAAAUAAUGGGUGAAAGCCCAUGUUGCUGACCUGACAUACCAAAUCGGCCCUAAAAAGCCGAGUCAGGCAAAUCAAUCGAGUGUCUGCUCUAUCAACUGUGGAUGGUAGGAUAAUUGCCUACCAUGGUGAUGACGGGUAACGGGGAGUUAGGGCUCGACUCCGGAGAACAAGCCUGAGAAACGGCUAGUAGGACUAAGGUCUGCAGCAGGCGCGAAACUUGCACAAUGCUAGAUUACCGAUACUAGUGAUGCAGUGAAGAAAAAUAACGAUGUACCUGCUCUAUGAGCUGGUACAAUUGGAAUGAGAGCGCUCUAAACCAGCGACUCGAGUAACAAAUGGAGGGCAAGUCUGGUGCCAGCAGCCGCGGUAAUUCCAGCUCCAUUAGCAUACAUUAAAGUUGUUGCGGUUAAAAAGCUCGUAGUUGAAUUUUAGACGGGCUUUAUUGGGACUCGACCGUUAAGCACUUCGGUGUGGUCGUAGUCGCCUUAGGAACCCGUUGUUUCGUCACUUAAUUGAGUGCGAAGCGUGAUGGAAUCACAAACUCUCCGGAGUUAGAUUGCAUCAAGUUUACCUUGAGAAAAUUAGAGUGCUCACAGCAGGCAGUUUGGGUGUAAAAGCUCAUUUAUGCUUGAAUAAUGUUGCAUGGAAUAAUAGAAUACGGCCUCGGUUCUAUUCUGUUGGUCUUAUAGAACAACAAACAAGUUGGUUCGAGAUUUACGGUUUCCAUUUGGCGUGGCUUGUUGCUUAUUGUGUUGCCUGUUAGUAAAAUUUCAGUGCCGCGUAGGCUCAAGUCGCAAAGCGCCGCUUGGUUAACUCCUCGUCUUCCAACUGAGGCAAUGGUUAAAAGAAAUAGUCGCGGCGGCAUCAGUACUGCAUCGUGAGAGGUGAAAUUCUUAGACCGAUGCAAGACUAACUGAAGCGAAAGCGUUUGCCGAGGAUAUUUUCAUUAAUCAAGAACGAAAGUUAGAGGUUCGAAGGCGAUCAGAUACCGCCCUAGUUCUAACCAUAAACGUUGCCAACUAGCAAUUGGGUUGCGAUUCCUUUAAUCGGUUCGUUGGGGCAACCUAACGCCGAUCAUUAUGAUCCACCCAGCGGCUCUCGUAGGGAAACCAAAGUGUUUGGGUUCCGGGGGAAGUAUGAUUGCAAAGUUGAAACUUAAAGGAAUUGACGGAAGGGCACCACCAGGAGUGGAGCCUGCGGCUUAAUUUGACUCAACACGGGGAAACUUACUAGAUUAAAACUCUGGAAUGAUUGACAGAUUGAUAGCUCUUUCUUGAUUCAGAGGAUGGUGGUGCAUGGCCGUUCUUGAUUCGUAUUCCGAAACGUCUGCUUAAUUGCGAUAACGAGUGAGACCUCACCCAACUAACUAGUCGUUUGGUGCGCUAGGGACGCUAAAGUUCCGGUUGAAUAGGUAAAGUUAAGUGUGGAAACAUAACUGGCUUUGCUCUCAGCUUGGAAUGUCCUCUGCUCGCCAGCGGACUUCUUAGAGGGAUAAACGGUGUUUUAGCCGUAAGAAACGAGGCAAUAACAGGUCUGUGAUGCCCUUAGAUAUUCUAGGCCGCACGCGUGCUACAAUGGCGUGUGCAGAAAGCUUGUUCGAGGUUCGUCCCGAGAGAACUGGUCGUUUGGUUGUAGUGUGGGGCAACUCGCAUUAUGGUCGGCGGAGAAGUGACUCGGGUCGCGAGCCGAGAGAAACCGCAGCCGAAAGGUUGUGGCAAUCAGAAAUACACGCCGUGAUUUGGGAUUGGGGAUUGCAAUUGUUGCCCAUGAACGAGGAAUUCCCAGUAAGCGCAAUUCAUCAUAUUGCGUUGAUUACGUCCCUGCCCUUUGUACACACCGCCCGUCGCUACUACCGAUUGGAAGUUUUAGUGAGGCAUUUGGACCUGCCGACUAUGAGUGGGGCAACUCACUUUUGUUGGCGGGGAAGUCUGUCGAACUCAAAUUUCUAGAGGAAGUAAAAGUCGUAACAAGGUUUCCGU